AGCUAGUCUGAGUACAGUGGUGUUUACAACUAAUUGAUCACAGCAAGUUACAGAUUUCUUCUUUCUCCAUUCCUGCUGCUUCACUGAACUAACAUACA
ensembl:misc_RNA Y_RNA Y RNA